AAUCUUGGUUUAAUGUAUCAUCCGAUGUCCAAAGUGCAGAUGACGCAGCUUGGGUGCUGAUGUGGCAAUCCACGGUGGUGAGAAUUUUGCAUUUAGCCCCCUCAUGCUACAGUAUGCCUUCAAGUCUACUCCCACCACUCCCAAAUCUUUUGGUGCAUGGCUUAAACUAUGAAUUUGCUGGAUGCUGAGAAAUGCAUAUUUGUUGAUUUGGGGUGGUAGGAGUCGAUUUCGGGGCAUACUAUAGUGAAGAGGCGUAAGUGCAAAAUUCUCGUCACUGUGGACAAGCCUGAGUUGCAUCCUCUGCACUUUGGGCCUCGAGUGAUACAUUAAACCAAGAUUAAGGGUGUUUUUUAGAGGGAAA
rnacentral:pre_miRNA from 1 species